rnacentral:tRNA from 1 species
GUGGCUGUGGCUCAGAGGUAGAGUGGGUCGGCCCUCAACCACAAGAUUGGCGAUUCGAUCCUCGGCUCCUCUGGCCACA